GACGAACGCUGGCGGCGUGCUUAACACAUGCAAGUCGAACGGAAAGGCCCUGCUUUUGUGGGGUGCUCGAGUGGCGAACGGGUGAGUAACACGUGAGUAGCCUGCCCUUGACUUUGGGAUAACUUCAGGAAACUGGGGCUAAUACCGGAUAGGAGCUCCUGCUGCAUGGUGGGGGUUGGAAAGUUUCGGCGGUUGGGGAUGGACUCGCGGCUUAUCAGCUUGUUGGUGGGGUAGUGGCUUACCAAGGCUUUGACGGGUAGCCGGCCGGAGAGGGUGACCGGCCACAUUGGGACUGAGAUACGGCCCAGACUCCUACGGGAGGCAGCAGUGGGGAAUAUUGCACAAGGGGCGGAAGCCUGAUGCAGCAACGCCGCGGGCGGGAUGACGGCCUUCGGGUUGUAAACCGCUUUCGCCUGUGACGAAGCGGGAGUGACGGUAAUGGGUAAAGAAGCACCGGCUAACUACGUG
rnacentral:rRNA from 1 species